rnacentral:rRNA from 1 species
AACGUAGGAGACAAACGUUAUCCGGAGUUACUGGGCGUAAAGGGCGUGUAGGCGGUUUGUUAAGUCUGGCGUGAAAGCUCUCGGCUAAACCGGGAGAGGUCGUUGGAUACUGGCAAACUAGAGGACGGUAGAGGCGUGUGGAAUUCCGGGUGUAGUGGUGAAAUGCGUAGAGAUCCGGAAGAACACCGGUGGCGAAGGCGGCCUGCUGGGCAGUUGCUGACACUGAGGCGCGACAGCGUGGGGGAGCAAACAGG